rnacentral:lncRNA from 1 species
CAUGCAUCACGAUUGCCAUGUUUAUAGGUUGUUGCAUUAGAAUUCACGAAUAUGAUGCAUUGCAUAAUAUGAUGUUGAUGUGGAUGGUCAUUGGAUGAUCCAUUAGUCCUCGAUAUGAUAUGCUAUGAUAUGGUACGGAAAGACCAGGGUUGCCCAUUCUACGCCCCUGGCACAGAGUAAGGGAAAGACCAGGGUUGCCCAUUCUAUGCCCCUGGCACAGUUGGACAUGUUAUGUAAUGUUUAAGAGGAAG